rnacentral:lncRNA from 1 species
AUGGCACCAGGAAGAAGCAGCAGGAAAUGCAGAGUGAAAUUCUUCCACACAAGCUGCUGCCAGACCAUCGCCCACUGUGUCUGGAGAGUCCCUGCAUGCUCAGAUACAGAGCACAGAAUAAACCGUGACCCUGGGGAUGUCUGCAGGUUCCUGGGUUGCUGUUUGUGCUGUGGAUCCUGCUGUAAGAUUCCUCAGAGGGGCUGGCAUUGGCAGCUGCAUCAUCCUGGUGCCUUGAGAAAGCGCUUCUGCACAGCAUUUCUCAUCACACCGUGA